rnacentral:rRNA from 1 species
GAUGAACGCUGGCGGCGUGCCUAAUACAUGCAAGUCGAGCGAACAGACGAGGAGCUUGCUCCUCUGACGUUAGCGGCGGACGGGUGAGUAACACGUGGAUAACCUACCUAUAAGACUGGGAUAACUUCGGGAAACCGGAGCUAAUCCCGGAUAAUAUAUUGAACCGCAUGGUUCAAUAGUGAAAGACGGUUUUGCUGUAACUACUAGAUGGAUCCGCGCCGCAUUAGCUGGUUGGUAAGGUAACGGCUUACCACGGCGACGAUGCGUAGCCGACCGGAGGGGGUGAUCGGCCACACUGGAACUGAGACACGGUCCAGACUCCUACGGGAGGCAGCAGUAGGGAAUCUUCCGCAAUGGGCGAGAGCCUGACGGAGCAACGCCGCGUGAGUGAUGAAGGUCUUCGGAUCGUAAAACUCUGUUAUUAGGGAAGAACAAAUUUGUAAGUAACUAUGCACGUCUUGACGGUACCUAAUCAGAAAGCCACGGCUAACUACGUG